UAAGCGGAGGAAANGAAACUACANGGAUUCCCCUAGUAACUGCGAGUGAAGCGGGAAAAGCUCAAAUUUAAAUCUGGUGGUCUUUGGCCAUCCGAGUUGUAAUUUAGAGAAGCGUCUUCCGCGCUGGACCGUGCACAAGUCUCCUGGAAUAGAGCGUCAUAGAGGGUGAGAAUCCCGUCUUUGGCAUGGACACACCAGGGCUUUUGUGAUGCGCUCUCGAAGAGUCGAGUUGUUUGGGAAUGCAGCUCAAAAUGGGUGGUGAACUCCAUCUAAAGCUAAAUAUUGGCGAGAGACCGAUAGCGAACAAGUACCGUGAGGGAAAGAUGAAAAGCACUUUGGAAAGAGAGUGAAACAGUACGUGAAAUUGUUGAAAGGGAAACGCUUGAAGUCAGUCACGUCGACCGAGACUCAGCCUUGCCUCGGCUUGGUGUACUUCUCGGCUGACGGGUCAGCAUCAAUUUUGCCCCUUGGAUAAUGGCGAGGGAAAUGUGACACCUUUAUGGUGUGUUAUAGUCUCUCGUCGCAUGCAAGGGUUGGGAUUGAGGAACUCAGCACGCGCCCUUUGGGUGUCGGGGCUUUGCCCACGAUACGUGCUUAGGAUGUUGGCAUAAUGGCUUUAAACGACC
rnacentral:rRNA from 1 species